UCCCUAGUGGCUGAGCAGGUAAAGAAUCUGGCUGCAAUGCAGGAGACCUGGGUUCGAUCCCUGGGUUGGGAA
rnacentral:tRNA from 1 species